AAGUGAAACUUACAUAUACAUUUCUAUCUCAAAAGGGAGUACAAUCAUCGAAUAUAUAAAGGUUCUCAAUUCUUCAUACAACCAGCCCGUGCCAAGCAUUAGGGCGAGAACCAUUACAAAAACAAAGAGUUAGACCAAGCUAGUCUAUACCAAGCUCUCAUCCUUGCGUGCCUUCCCCUGUUAAGGAAAACAAACUAAAGGGAUGAGCUAAAAGCCCAGUGAGGUUCCGAACACAUAAUCAAAUAAUCAAUCCAUACAUUAAACAUAGAAAAUUAAUAAUUCAAGAAACAUUUAAAAUGGAAAGCGAUAAUAACACAUACAUUAAAAGGAUACGGGCUCACUGGGAGUCAUAAAUUCGUUCGUUCGUUCGUUCUCCUGACAUUUCCCCUUAUUCCUUCAUUCUUUUGAAGAUUGCAUUUUUGUAAGUAAAACCCUCGUUCGUUCUUUCGCUUCAUUCACCCCUUUCCUGGCCUUUGGCUAGGCUCCACCAACCUACAAGGUAAUACUCGAGUAUACCAACGUUCACACCCAGCGUCACCAUAUCGCUCGACCAAGUCCGCUUCUGGAUCGAGUCGAUCGGUAACGAAGGGCAGGGCCCAAUUCAGCCAAACAGCUUACAUUCAUGCGCAACUAGCAUUUAAUCAUUUAAUCAUUGAAAAUUUCACACUUAUUUAUGUCGAGUGCGAUAAAGUACACACUCGCCUAGAAAACUAGUUUUAACAAUCAUUGAAAGCACUUAAUACAUUAUCAAUCAAUAAUAACAAGCCAAUAAAUCAAGGAAAUAUAACAAACAAAGAAACACUCACCUAUGUACGCAAAACAACGUGCCAAAUAUC
rnacentral:lncRNA from 1 species